UACGUAGGGGGCGAGCGUUGUCCGGAUUUACUGGGCGUAAAGGGCGCGUAGGCGGCCUGUUAGGUUGGCUGUGAAAUCUUUGGGCCCAACCCAGAGGGGUCAGCCGAGACCGGCGGGCUAGAGGGUGGUAGAGGAAGGUGGAAUUCCGGGUGUAGUGGUGAAAUGCGUAGAGAUCCGGAGGAACACCAGUGGCGAAGGCGGCCUUCUGGGCCAUACCUGACGCUGAGGCGCGAAAGCGUGGGGAGCGAACCGA
rnacentral:rRNA from 1 species